rnacentral:rRNA from 1 species
ACGGAGGGGGCUAGCGUUGUUCGGAAUUACUGGGCGUAAAGCGCACGUAGGCGGCUUUGUAAGUUAGAGGUGAAAGCCCAGGGCUUAACCCUGGAAUUGCCUUUAAGACUGCAUCGCUUGAAUCGUGGAGAGGUGAGUGGAAUUCCGAGUGUAGAGGUGAAAUUCGUAGAUAUUCGGAAGAACACCAGUGGCGAAGGCGGCUCACUGGAUCGGUACUGACGCUGAGGUGCGAAAGCGUGGGGAGCAAACAGGA